AGUAAUGUGGCUUAAUGGUAGAGUGCUUGCCUAGCAUGCAUGAAGCCCUGGGUUCAGUUCCUCAAUACCA
rnacentral:tRNA from 1 species